AUACGGGGGAUGCAAGCGUUAUUCGGAAUCAUUGGGCGUAAAGGGCACGCAGGCGGUUCUGUCAGUCAGAUGUGAAAGCCCGGGGCUUAACCCCGGACGUGCAUUUGAAACAGCAGGACUUGAGUAUGGUAGAGGAAAGCGGAAUUCCUGGUGUAGAGGUGAAAUUCGCAGAUAUCAGGAGGAACACCGGUGGCGAAGGCGGCUUUCUGUACCAAAACUGACGCUGAGGUGCGAAGGCGUGGGUAGCGAACAGGAUUAGAAACCCUAGUAGUCC
rnacentral:rRNA from 1 species